UCGGGCCUCCAUGCAAAUCCUGUUUGCAGUUGAAAACAGGAAGCCUUGAGUUGUAAAGAAGCCAGAGACAAAGUAUGUCAUCAUAAAGCUGGAAUUUAUAGCAAGGCUGCCAUGGAAGAAGCACUUGCUCUACUGUACAAAAACAACCAGAUGCAAAGCACAUUAAAGCCAGAUCCCUGGGGUAUGGAAAAAGUUUGAAAUUUUAGAAGAAACAUCUGAGACUUCAUUGAAACUUAUGAGCUCUCAAAAGAGCAGCCUCUUGUCAUGAUUACAUGGGAAUGCUGGUGUUUACACCAGGGAAUGAUUCUGUUCCGGAUGGCGGAAGGAUGCAAGGUCAGCUGGUUCCCCUUCAAGUCAGGCAUCAUUACAGACGUCCUGCGGAGGCAGUAAGGCUUUCUAGAACGGACCAUUUCCAGGUUCUCAUGCAGUCAGAACAAAGAGCUCAGAGACUCCAUCUCACUUAGACAGCCAUGUGAUGUCAAAUAAAUGCACUGGAUGUAACAAAUGUUCACUUUUAAUCACAUCUUCUCUUUACUAAAGAGCCAGCAUUAAUGUAUUCACUAUCCUCUAAAAGUCUUUAAAGUGUGCACUGAAAUCCCACCAGAGAUGACCUUUUAUGGCUCCAUCUUGUUGGUCUGGCAAAUAAGCCUCAUUCUUUGCUGUCUAGUCAUCUAGUCUGUUUGAAAAAUCUGGCAAACAUCUGGAAUCGGUCCCUAAAUUUGCUAGAAUGUCAUGCCAGCCUAAGUAGUAUGAUGAUAAUGAAUUGCAUGUGGGUCAUACAUACCUGUCAUGCUGAUAAAUAUAAGUACUAAUGUUGAUAAUAUUGAGUUAUUCACUCUCUUAAAUAUAGGGUUAUUAACUCUUAAUAUGCUCUAGCAGGUGCACAAGAAUGAGUUGUGAAUUGCUUAGUUACCUUCUGAGAAAAGUUGCUUUUAAUAAGCAUUAAAGUGUUAGUUCACCUAAAAAAAAAAAGAAAAUUCUGUCAGCAUUUACUCAACCUCACCUCGUUCCAAACCCAUAAGACUUUUGUUCGUCUUCAGAACACAAAUGAUGAU